GCCGGGAUGGUGGAAUAGGUAGACACGCAAGACUUAAAAUCUUGUGGCUUCACGGCCGUGCGGGUUCGAUUCCCGCUCCUGGUACAA
rnacentral:tRNA from 1 species